rnacentral:tRNA from 1 species
UGGCUUUGUGGUUAAGAGCACUGGAUGCUCUUCCAGAGGACCUGGGUUCAAUUCCCAG